rnacentral:rRNA from 1 species
AGAGUUUGAUCCUGGCUCAGGAUGAACGCUGGCGGCGUGCUUAACACAUGCAAGUCGAACGAUGAUCCCAGCUUGCUGGGGGAUUAGUGGCGAACGGGUGAGUAACACGUGAGUAACCUGCCCUUAACUCUGGGAUAAGCCUGGGAAACUGGGUCUAAUACCGGAUAUGACUCCUCAUCGCAUGGUGGGGGGUGGAAAGCUUUAUUGUGGUUUUGGAUGGACUCGCGGCCUAUCAGCUUGUUGGUGAGGUAAUGGCUCACCAAGGCGACGACGGGUAGCCGGCCUGAGAGGGUGACCGGCCACACUGGGACUGAGACACGGCCCAGACUCCUACGGGAGGCAGCAGUGGGGAAUAUUGCACAAUGGGCGAAAGCCUGAUGCAGCGACGCCGCGUGAGGGAUGACGGCCUUCGGGUUGUAAACCUCUUUCAGUAGGGAAGAAGCGAAAGUGACGGUACCUGCAGAAGAAGCGCCGGCUAACUACGUGCCAGCAGCCGCGGUAAUACGUAGGGCGCAAGCGUUAUCCGGAAUUAUUGGGCGUAAAGAGCUCGUAGGGCGGUUUGUCGCGUCUGCCGUGAAAGUCCGGGGCUCAACUCCCGGAUCUGCGGUGGGUACGGGCAGACUAGAGUGAUGUAGGGGGAGACUGGAAUUCCUGGUGUAGCGGUGAAAUGCGCAGAUAUCAGGAGGAACACCGAUGGCGAAGGCAGGUCUCUGGGCAUUAACUGACGCUGAGGAGCGAAAGCAUGGGGAGCGAACAGGAUUAGAUACCCUGGUAGUCCAUGCCGUAAACGUUGGGCACUA